rnacentral:lncRNA from 1 species
UUGAAUGUUUACAAAUACUCCACCUGAAUAAUCCUAUAUGAAGCAGAUACGUCGAUAAAAGAAACCAAAUCAAAUAAAACUAAAAGGUCGAGGUAAAUAACAAUUUAUACAACACAUAAACCUCUACACAAAUCGUUCAAUGGAUGGUCUGUUUAAAUCUCUUUCGAGGCUUCGGCCAAAAACCAGUUCGGUCCGACAUAUGUUGUUUUGUCAUAAAUUUCACCACCUCGUCCUUGGUCGUUUUUGCCAUAUACCAUAGUUUGUUUCUUAAUGAUCAUGUCUUUGUCAAUCUAUGUUUUGGAUAAAACCAUAAGAGUUAGACUCUGUUAAAGGCAGAGGUAAGUUAACC